AUACGUAGGUGGCAAGCGUUGUCCGGAAUUAUUGGGCGUAAAGCGCGCGCAGGCGGUCCUUUAAGUCUGAUGUGAAAGCCCACGGCUCAACCGUGGAGGGUCAUUGGAAACUGGGGGACUUGAGUGCAGAAGAGGAAAGUGGAAUUCCCAGUGUAGCGGUGAAAUGCGUAGAGAUUUGGAGGAACACCAGUGGCGAAGGUGACUUUCUGGUCUGUAACUGACACUGAGGCGCGAAAGCGUGGGGAGCAAACAGGAUUAGAUACCCUGGUAGUCCACGCCGUAAACGAUGAGUGCUAAGUGUUGGGGGGUUUCCGCCCCUCAGUGCUGCAGCUAACGCAUUAAGCACUCCGCCUGGGGAGUACGGUCGCAAGACUGAAACUCAAAUGAAUUGACGGGG
rnacentral:rRNA from 1 species